rnacentral:rRNA from 1 species
AUUUUUCACAAUGGACGAAAGUCUGAUGGAGCAAUACCACGUGAACGAUGAAGGUCUUCUGAUUGUAAAGUUCUUUUAUUUAGGAAAAAAAGCGUGCUAGGAAAUGAGCGCGCCUUGAUGGUACUAAUUGAAUAAGUGACAGCUAACUAUGUGCCAGCAGCUGCGGUAAAACAUAGGUCACGAGCAUUAUCCGGAUUUAUUGGGCGUAAAGGAAGCGUAGGCGGGGAGGUUGAUCCAUUGUUAAAAGCAUUUGCUUAACAAAUGUGUGCAUUGGAGAUCGCCUCCCUAGAGUUAAUCAGGGGGUACUGGAAUUCAAUGUGUAGCGGUGGAAUGCGUAGAUAUAUUGAGGAACACCAGAGGCUAAGGCGAGUGCCUAGGAUAUAACUGACGCUGAGGCUUGAAAGCGUGGGGAGCAAAUGGGAUUAGAUACCCCAGUAGUCCACGCCGUAAACGAUGAGCAUUGGGCAUUUGACAUCUGGUCGAGUGCUGUAGCUAACGCGUUAAAUGCUCCGCCUGGGUAGUAUAUAUGCAAAUAUGAA